rnacentral:rRNA from 1 species
AUGGUGGCUGGUGAUCUUAAUGAUAUAAUGUCCUCCUUUGAAAAAGAAGGGGGUAAUCCCCGACCAGCUCAGUACAUGGCGGCAUUCAGGGACGCCCUAGAUGAGUGCAAUCUAUUGGACCUAGGCUACUUUGGAGACAAGUUUACCUGGCAUAGAGGAAUGAUAAGAGAGAGGCUCGACCGAGCGGUUUCAAAUGAUGCAUGGAAUUCCAUGUUUCCUGCAGCGAGGGUUGAGCAUCUGGACUACCACAAGUUUGAUCAUCGACCACUCCUG